rnacentral:rRNA from 1 species
AACGUAGGUGGCAAGCGUUAUCCGGAAUUACUGGGCGUAAAGGGUGUGCAGGCGGGGUGGCAAGUGGUGUAUGAAAUAUCCCAGCUUAACUGGGAGGGGUUAUGCCAGACUGCUACUCUAGAGGACGAGAGAGGGGCGUGGAAUUCCCGGUGUAGCGGUGAAAUGCGCAGAUAUCGGGAGGAACACCAAUGGCGAAGGCAGCUCGCUGGGACGGUACUGACGCUGAGACGCGAAAGCGUGGGGAGCGAACAGG